ensembl:lncRNA
GAACAGGCUGUAGCAUGGUGUGUUAUCCUGGCCCUUAGUGAGGUGACCGCUUAUAUAAGUGACAGGUUGGAAUUUCAUCAUCCUGGCUCUGGGACAGAGGGUCAGGGCAAAGUAACAUCCGGAAGCAGACAGAAUGAGGCUGGAUGAGGCUGGAAGGACAGCUACCAAAAGAAAUGGCUGAGGCAAUGUAGCUUUGGCAAAGACAUACAGGUGGAAGCUGAAUUAGUGAGGAUGACUCCUGCUCCUGUCAUCUCUAAGCUCCUCACACAUCUUUACCUGCACAUGAGGAAAAUCACUCCUGUAGAAUGCAGAUGUUCAGAGGGAGAUGAUGCCACAUCUGGUCCAGCUGAUGGAAGGUCUUGAAGUUCUCUGACUGGCCUCGACUGAAGAUGGUCGUCUCACUGGAUUUAAGGUUCAGAUGCUCAGUAACAAACUCCACCAAUGUGCCAACAGGGAAGCUUUAGGUUUAUUACAUGUUGCUAUGAAGGUAUCGCUGUUUUUCUUUGUGAAUGCAAUGUGCUCCAACUGAAAGUUGAAUUACAACUUAGAAGUAAAUCCUUCCAUCUGAAAGGAUCUAGUUGGGUUAAUAACCCCAUAACAUUCUAAUUUUUAAAUAAUAGAAAUAGAAUCUCUGUAUUGAUUCAGGUAAAAACUGAACUUCACAGCAUGUUGGAGCAAAACAACCAGAUGAAAACUGUGAUGGUGUUGGAUUGUCAGACCGUAAUGUUGCAGCUCAAAGCAGCUUUUCUAGCUCAGUUCAUUCUGACAUUCAGCUAUGAAUCAACACAGCAGAUGGUGAUCCAUGCUGUGGAAGUCUCACAUCUCCUGAUUUAAUGGAGCUGCUUUGCACUUUUUACACUGUUUAUUCACCAACACUUUAUUUAAUAAAAGUCCCAUCUAGUUUUUAUGAGGAAUGUGAUGUUUUAAUUUCUCUGUGAAUAACUGCAGUCUAAUGCAACAGCUGGAGUUGUAACAUCUGUCCUGAUAUUGAUCAUGAAGUAUUGAUCAGAAUACUUAUGGUCAGCAGUCAUCCCUGAAGUUUUACAUUAAAAUCUUUACUUGUGUUGUAAACUUUGGUAAGAAGCAGAAACGUUAGCGUUGCCAUGGAUACAUGAGUGUUAAAUUCUGUCCAUGUUUCCAUUUUGGGAACUGCAGUCCAGCAGAUGAGUUUGUUUUUACUUACAGCUACCAUUCAGUCUGAGAUAUUAAGAAUAAAUAAAUGUGCAUAAUGUGGAAAUGAACAGAUUUUAUUUUUAUUUAUUCCUACAGCAAAUAUUAUCUGAAAGUCGGGUUAUUGUUGUUUAUCAGCACAAUACAAAAAGAUUUAUAUUAGAAAUAUUCCAGUUAAGGCUCUAGAAUGUCAUGAUUUAUGUAAAUUUACCUCAAUAAUAUGAAUGUUCAGGUUAAGAUUGUGCAGUGAUAUUUAUUCUGUAAGUUUAGCUGAUUGAAGUUUAUGAUGCUGCACUACAAUAUUAUUUAUUAUUUAAAUUUACAUCAUUAUUAUAAUAUUUAGGGCCAGACCCUACAGUAUUGAGAUUAAGAAAUCAAAUAAUCUAUAAAAUGUAAAUACACUGAACUCAUUUGGAUAUAUUUAAGUGAGACUCUACAAUAUUAUUUGACACAAAUCUAUCUAAAUCAGAAUUUUAAUCAUUUUUACUCCAAACAUUUACUGGACUGAUUUAAACAUUAAAAUCACUCCUUUCUAAUCCUCUGCUGUACGUUCAAACCUGAGGCCUUAAAUAGAAACACACAAGUAUCUGUUUGAAGGAACUUCUGCAGUCCUGGUUCCAGAACAUGAUGAUAGAAUUAUAGACAAACUUUAACAAAAGCUGCCUGAGAGUUUACAGGUUUUUAUGUUAGAUUUCUUCAGUAAUUUAAUGAGUUAUCAGCAAAAAUCAAGUGUUCAUUUGAUGAACUUCAUUUCUUAAAACAUCCAGAAUUGGAGCUCAUAUCUUUGGCAGCUGUAAAGUUUCUGCUCCUUCAAAGUUCACAACACAAUGAAUUAAUUCCUAAAACACUCUCAAUGCUGGAGAGCAUUUGAUGCUGAAGCAGUGACCAGUUUUUCUGUUUCUUCUCUGGAGAUGCACAAUGAGGGACGUCUGCAGUGACUGAGAAAGAGUCUCACCACAUCCUGACGUGAGGAAAAAGACUUUAUUGAAGACUACAAUGAGAAAAACUAUCAGACAGCAGACGGCUGCAUUCAAGAGAAGAAGACCAUCAAACAUCCACGUCAGCUGAUGGAGGUCCUAAGAGUCUCACUGAAGAACCAACCUACAGAGUGAAGACCUCAAAUCUGAUUGGACGGCCUCCUAUUCAGCCACGUGUGAACAAAUGCCUCUAAGUUGAUUUGUUUUCUAAAAUAAAUCUAGUUUGAGUCCUAAUCUAUGCCUGUGUUUGCUUCUUUACACCGCUGUUAACAGUUUAGGCUGUUAGAUUGUUCCAGAUAAGACAAGUACAAGAUUCUUCAGAGCCGUUCUACCACGAGCCUGACAGGAAGAACUCCAACAGCUACUGAAUGUUCCUGUGGUUCCCUCAAGGCUACAGGAGGAGCCCUACGAGGACGAGCCGGUCCACCUGAUGGUGGCCAGUCGCUGCAGUUCAAAGCC